CUCUCUCUCUCUCUCUUUCUCUCUCUCUAUCUAUCUAUCUAUCUAUCUAUCUAUCUAUCUAUUUAUCUCUCUGUCUCUCUGUCUCUCUCUCUCUCUCUCUCUCUCUCAAUCUUAAUCUUACUCGCACAUCUUUAAAAUUUCAUGAUCGUCAUUCCUUCGCCGUUUCUCCCGGGGUGUACGAAAUCGGAAUCGUGUCGUAGUUACUCGAAUCGGAUUCUCGUUAACUUAGCAUCUACGUAUCGGAUUUGCGAAACGUGCUCUACAAAGUUGUAUAUCUACAUGCCACGUUACCGUCGGGGCCGGCCACAGAGACACGAGAAUUGCGAGUGUUGGUGACGUGUUAAUUUGCUACCGCUUCGAUUGGUUGCGGAAGGAAGAGAGAGAGAGAGAGAGAGAGAGAGAGAGAUACAGACAGAAAAAAAGAAAAAGAAAGAGGGGGAAAGUACAGAAAAAAAAAUUCAACCAUUUCUCUCUCUCUCUCUCUCUCUCUCUCUUUCUCUUUAUUAAUGUUCAAAAUUUGUCCCUUAUUCUUUAUUAUUUCAUCUUCUUCUUCGUUAAAAACGACAUUUUCCUUCGUACAAGUUGACAAUUAUAAAUUUUCGAACUUUAAUUUCUUUGAAAUUUGCCGGCGCGGUAAAUCCAUUGGAACGCGAGAAAAGUAGGGGAAGGAAGAAGCCGGUCACAGGCGCCGCGAGAAGGAACGAAUUCAUUCCGGGAUAUAUCGUUUCCAAUCGACGAUCACGAGCACACGACCACACGACCAUAACCACGACCACAACCACAACGCAGCUAUGGAUCGUCCUCGAGAAGUCCGACGAACUCUCUUUCUCUCUCUCUCUCUCUCUCUCUCUCUCUCUCUCCUUUUUUUUCUUUUUUUUUUUUUUUAUUUACCCUUUUCCCCUUUUUUUCGGGGAAAAGAUCGUGCGAGAGUUCGUUUGCCUAAGAGAACUCUCUUCGAGAGUUCAUCAAGAUGGAUCAUCGUCUGCUAGAAAAGUUAAGAAGACUAGAGAGAGAGAGAGAGAGAGAGAGAGAGGGAGAGAGAAAGAGAGAAGAGGAGAGAGAAAAGGACAUUCGUAAUUCGAACGUGGCGCUUCGAUUGAGAACGAGGCCCAGUGAUUUUCUAUCUUUAUCUCGCUUUCAUCCUACUCCAAUACCACAAUCCCCCUACACACACCUCUCUCUCUCUCUCUCUCUCUCUCUCUCUCUCUCUCUCUCUCUCUCUCUUUCUCUCUCUUUCUCUCUCUCGGUCGCUCGCUCUUUUCUUUUUUAAUCUAUUUUUACGAUUGUCCUAACAGCUUCUUGAUGGAAACCAUUGCCAAUCGUAACCGAAUCUAUAUCACUGUUUUUUUUUACUUCUUUUCUUUUAUAUUAGAAACUUUUAUGUCUCUCUCUCUCUCUCUCUCUCUUUCUUUCUUUCUUUUUCUUUGUCUCUCUCUCUCUCUCUCUCUCAUCAACCUCAACUACGUUCAGGAUCAUCGGAGCACGUAGUGGUUCUCAUUGGCCAGUAGUCAGUAUGAAACAUUUUGUACGAAUGUUUUAUUGAAGAAGUGAGAGAAGUGAUACGAGAUCUAACCUAACUUUCUUCAUCGAUGCCACUUGUUUCUUAUUGGACGACUACGAUGACGACAAUGGCGACAAUGAUCCUGAUGAUUAUAAUGAUGAUUAUAAUAAUAAUGAUGAUGAUGAUGAUGAUGAUGAUGAUGAUGAUGAUGAUGAUGAUGGUGAUGAUAUGUGGCUGCUGGUGUUCUUCGAUUAUGUUUGGAAAUGACAUUUUGCACGAACUAUUUUCAACGACAUGGAACAUCAGAGUGAAUUUUCGACCACACAGAACAUCAGAGUGAAUUUUCAACGGCAUGAUGUACAUCAUAGCAACCGAAACAAAUGAAGAAUGUUUUCAACGACUUGAAGAUAUGCAUGCUACAUGUUCUUCAAUUACUAAUCGAUCAAACUGGAGAGCGAUGUGACCAGGUUGCGCCAGCAUUUCAACUGGAAAAUUAUUUUCGCUUUCGAUAAAGUAAUGUUUAUAGAAAAAACAGAUCGAUCUUUUAAUCGAGAACAUGUUCUUGAUACGAAAAGCGUUUUGUGCAUUUGUUGAGUUCUGUUUGAAUAAUCUGUUCUGUAGAAUAGAGGAGACAAAUAACAAUUGUAAUUAUACCAAUUCAGAAUAAAUAUUUUUUAUAUAUUAUUAAAUAGGUCUUAUAAAUUAUAGGAUAUUUACUUGUUAUAAUAUACUGUCAUUAUAUCUUUUGUGUCGUACCAUAUAUAAUACUACAUAUAAAAGGAAAAAACAUUUAAUAUUUGGUCUUCUAAUUUGAAGAAUCAUUAUUUCAAUUUAAAUAAAUUAGACAGAAUACGCUCGAUAGUUUUAAUGUAAAAGCUUGCUUAACCGAUAGAUAAUUUAUCGACUGAUAGUAAUGUAACAAAGCUUAUUAUUUAUAAUCAUGUAUAAUUUUAUAUAAUUACAAUAUAUGUAA